rnacentral:rRNA from 2 species
AUAGCCCGGCCCGCUUUGGCGGGUCGCCGGCUUCUUAGAGGGACUAUCGGCUCAAGCCGAUGGAAGUUUGAGGCAAUAACAGGUCUGUUAUGCCCUUAGAUGUUCUGGGCCGCACGCGCGCUACACUGACAGAGCCAACGAGUUCACUACCUUGGCCGGAAGGUCUGGGUAAUCUUGUUAAACUCUGUCGUGCUGGGGAUAGAGCAUUGCA